UCUCAUUCCCCUGCGACAGAAGGACUCCUAUGCUGAAAUUAGUCUCUCUCCGGAAAAUCACCGAUCAUCGGAAACGGAGAGCCCAAAUUGACGGUUUCAAAAAGCUUAGGCAACACAAUUCAGCAUCCAAUUCAUCUUUCAUCUCCGUUUAAGCCUCUACAUUUCAGAUAUGGCAGCGGAGAGGCACGCCUCUUCGCGCGCAACAUCAUCUGAAGACAACGCGAUGUUUCUUGAUAUACUGCAUGAGGCACCGUUAUUUGGUCAUCGGAAGCCUGCAAGAACAGUUGGGAGCAUAAUUUAUUGUUUUAUUUUGGUAGGCUAUGCUGCUCUGGCUAUUGGAGCUCCAUGGAUAUUUCAUCCUAUAAAGCACUUGGUUGAACCAUUGCUCUGCAGUUGUGAUGUUGUUCUCUUGAUGCUCACAGGUAUCUUUCAGCAAUAUCUAGUGUACCAAGUCCACAAAAUUCGUUUGCAGGGUUAUUAUAGCUUUAGCCAGAAGUUAAAGCAUAUUGUUCGUCUACCUUUUGCAGUUAUGGCAUAUGGAACUGCUGCCCUUUUACUUGUCAUGGUAUGGGAGCCUCAAAUCAGUGCACUUUCGAUCCCCAUAAUUUUAAGGUUGAUUAUGUUAAUUGAAGCGGUGUGUGCUGGAUCGUUUAUGAUUAUAUAUAUCAGCUAUGUACAAAAGUACAAUUCAUUAAAUUCUCAGCCUGAUGUUUUGAAGUCAUUGUAUUCUCCACUUCAGCAAUCAAGUUCUUUGGAAGAUCUAAGGUAUCAUGAUGUUGGUCGACUUUCCGAUCAACAAAUGGCUCUGUUGCAAUAUCAGCGAGAGAACCUUCAUUUUCUGAAUGAGGAGAUUCUUCGGUUGCAAGAGUGCUUAAGUAAAUAUGAACGGUCCAGUGAUGGAAGCACGCCUCAGGUUGAUCUUGCCCAUAUGCUAGCUGCGCGUGAUCAGGAAUUGAGGACACUUUCAGCUGAGAUGAAUCAGGUGACAUCAGAACUUAGGCUUGCUCGAUCUGUUAUAGCUGAGAGGGAUACCGAGAUUCAGAAAUUACUCACCACCAACAAACAGUAUGUAGAAGAAAAUGAAAGACUGAGAGCUAUUCUAGGCGAAUGGAGUACACGGGCAGCAAAGCUCGAGAGAGCGCUCGAAGCUGAGCGUAUAUCAAAUCUUGAACUGCAAAAGAGGAUUUCAACACUAAAAAAACAACCACAUUUAUCUGAAACAUCAGAGCGGCACGGGAGUUGAUGCCUAUACUAAACCAUAGUAUAAAGUGUCAGUUUAAUCUCUAGGUUGGAUCGGAAAUGCCACCUCAGCAUCAGCUAAAUUUCUUCUCCUGAAUAUAAGCAGCAGAUUAGACCCAUUUUUCUCCUGCAUUCUGGCUUUCAGUAUUUGACCAAACAUUGGCAGUAGCUGUAAAGGUAUGAAGGUGGGUUGGAAUCUUGUUCCUUUGGGUUUAGUUUUUUCUUGACCAGCACUUUAUUUUUUCUCGCUCUCUCGAUGUUUGUUCUUUGCUCUUUACUCUCCCCCCCCCCCCUUUCAUUACGAAAGGGAGAAAAUACUAAGUAUAGCAAGAGUCGAGAGUUAGGAUUGUAAGUUAAACAUGCAUGCACAAUAAGACUGUUUCGGUAACUUCUGCUGAAUAUGACCAAGCAAAUGGAAAAAAAUAAAAAGCGAGGCAAAUUCAUUUUGGGGCCCAAAUUUUAGGUGAAAUGUACAAUUACCAGGUGUUGAAAACCACAAAUUUACUAAUUAGUCAAGUACCCAAAAGAAGAAAAAAUAUUAAAAAGUUCACUCCAUAAAUUGGGCAUUUCUAUAAUUUAUAAUUACGCAUUCCUUACAUAGUGAUUUUUAUAAGCAAGGUGAUAUAAUAUUUGCUUCCCGAUUAUAGUCAUAGGCAAUCAGACAAGAUAUUAGAUGAAACUUAUUUUGAAACACAACGGGAAACUCUGGAUUUUACUGACAUUACCAAUUUGAUUAAUGAUUACAUUAUAACCCAAAACAUGAAAUGAAAAAUAAUGAUACAAACCUCAAUUGGGGUAAAAAAAAAAAAAAAAACAAUAAAAUAAAACUCCCAGUCCUACCAUUACAAAA